ensembl:lncRNA
UGCAGAUGUCACAAGGUGACGAUCUUUAGGGGCGGAACCAAAAUUCGGGAAGUUUGGUUCCGCCCGGAAGUGUUUCCGCCCGGACCGGAAAAACAGAACACCGGAAUUUCCGGUAGCGCCGUAAGAAGGAAAAUCAGGGAAUUCGAUGCACCUGUGCCUAGUUAGGGACAGCGGUUGGUGAUUGGAGGAUACGCUGGACAAGGCAGUACUUAAGGCCAAGUUAUUUCACAGUCUGGGCGCUCUUUCUGGUGUGUGUGAAGCACUGUGUUGUGCCCGUCUUGGUGCGCUGCUGGCGGCUGUCUAACUCUCUCUCUCUCUCCCUCAGGCUGGAAUUGUAUGAUUGUGAAGACAUCGCGAACCUUAAAGGUUGAGAAGUGAACGGAUUAUACGGCGAACUGAGAUGACGUGAAAAAGGGGAUUGGAAGCGGCAUUGAUGUGAGUACUAAGAGCCAGUCGAAAGUGCCCUGUAUAUUGACCUGGCGUUGUGUAGAUCUCUCCAGGAGGAGGAGGGCGGCCCUACCCCUAAUAUAGUGUGGUGGGAGAGCCGAAGGAAUACUUAUUGAAGUAGUCACAACGACGACAUCACUAGCUAGGCCGCAUAUUCCAUCGCCAGAUCCGAACCAAGCGAAGUGAAGGAAGACGGGUGUCCUUUUCGUACACUGAGUGUGGUGGGUGAGUCUUCAUGCUGUGAAAACCUAUAAUUUUGACGUGGUGCUGUAUAUUGCUGUGGGCUGCUGUGUAUUGCCGUGUGUCCUGUCAGAUAAACCCCCGCCUUCACGCACUUCGUCGCGGGAGGACAAGGAGACUGCUGGUCCUAGCCUAGUUCAGUACAGCAUAUGUUGUGAGCGUGCUUCAGAUCUCCGGAGAUAGCACAGUACGCUGUGUCCAGCCCAGAGGUGAAAGCCAUCCAAAGCAGAGUAACUGUGCUUUGCGUCCAAGUUGAUACCUGUGGAGAGGAAAGGAAAGAGAGAUUGAUACCUGUGGAGAGAAAAGGAGAGAGAGUGGGUAACACGAGGAGAGACCGAGG